rnacentral:rRNA from 1 species
UCGGGUUGUAAAGCACUUUUGUCCGGAAAGAAAACCUUUGGGCUAAUACCCUGAGGGGAUGACGGUACCGGAAGAAUAAGCACCGGCUAACUACGUGCCAGCAGCGCGGUAAUCGUAGGGUGCGAGCGUUAAUCGGAAUUACUGGGCGUAAAGCGUGCGCAGGCGGUUCGUUAAGGCAGAUGUGAAAUCCCCGGGCUUAACCUGGGAACUGCAUUUGUGACUGGCGAGCUAGAGUAUGGCAGAGGGGGGUAGAAUUCCACGUGUAGCAGUGAAAUGCGUAGAGAUGUGGAGGAAUACCGAUGGCGAAGGCAGCCCCCUGGGCCAAUACUGACGCUCAUGCACGAAAGCGUGGGGAGCAAACAGGAUUAGAUACCCUGGUAGUCCACGCCCUAAACGAUGUCAACUAGUUGUUGGGGAUUCAUUUCCUUAGUAACGUAGCUAACGCGUGAAGUUGACCGCCUGGGGAGUACGGUCGCAAGAUUAAAACUCAAAGGAAUUGACGGGGACCCGCACAAGCGGUGGAUGAUGUGGAUUAAUUCGAUGCAACGCGAAAAACCUUACCUACCCUUGACAUGGUCGGAACCCUGCUG